rnacentral:lncRNA from 7 species
GGAACUCUGGUGGAGAACAGUAAUUUUGAGCUCGCAGAUGAUAGGCGAGUAAUGCCAGCACACAUAUUUUUAUUUAUUUAAAUCCUGGAUAUGAGAAACAUGUGUGACCUAUUAAUAUUCUGGCCUCUUACUAGUAGCAACUUGAUGUUUCCUGUGACAGCAUUUUAUGUCUAUCUUUUUAUUUAUGUAAUGUUGUCAUCUUUUUUUUAUCUCCAGUUAGGAUAUUUAAAAUUUUGUAUACGGACAGCCAAUUCUUUCUCUUGUUGAUUUUGUAAAUAAAGGAGUUGUAUAUCUUAUAUCAUCAUCUCACCAUAGGAGUUUAAAUAAACUGCUGUAAUAUUGUCGGACCUCAUAGUCUGGAUUGUCUUCUAACGUGAAAUGAAUGGAUCUGUACAAAUUUUAUUGAAUGCUCUGUAUAAGUUCAAAUAAAUAAGCCUUGUCUUUCUAUGAUAUUGUUUCAAAAUAUACGAAUUUAGUAAAUGCUGGCAUUGAUCAAUUUUGUCCUGCAGAGAGAAGAUAAAAGAUGGCUUACUGAGCAGUGUCUCUGCCCUGGACAAAUUUGAGCAGAGUGUUAAAGACUGUUUAGGUGUUUAGACUUUUUUGUGCCAGAUCGGAUCACAUUUUUUCAAAGCAUUUUAAAUUGACUUACUUAUUGUUUUUAUUUUUCUUCUAUCGUUGAGGUAAGGUUUCAUUUGCCUUUGCUCAUUAGGGACUUCUGUUGUACAAAUGAUCUGUUCAUUUGAUCUGAUAUAUGAUAUUUAUGG